rnacentral:rRNA from 1 species
AGUGAACGCUGGCGGUAGGCCUAACACAUGCAAGUCGAACGGCAGCACAGUAAGAGCUUGCUCUUACGGGUGGCGAGUGGCGGACGGGUGAGGAAUACAUCGGAAUCUACUUUUUCGUGGGGGAUAACGUAGGGAAACUUACGCUAAUACCGCAUACGACCUACGGGUGAAAGCAGGGGAUCUUCGGACCUUGCGCGAUUGAAUGAGCCGAUGCCGGAUUAGCUAGUUGGCGGGGUAAAGGCCCACCAAGGCGACGAUCCGUAGCUGGUCUGAGAGGAUGAUCAGCCACACUGGAACUGAGACACGGUCCAGACUCCUACGGGAGGCAGCAGUGGGGAAUAUUGGACAAUGGGCGCAGGCCUGAUCCAGCCAUACCGCGUGGGUGAAGAAGGCCUUCGGGUUGUAAAGCCCUUUUGUUGGGAAAGAAAAGCAGCAGGUUAAUACCCCGCUGUUCUGACGGUACCCAAAGAAUAAGCACCGGCUAACUUCGU